GCCCUCCCAUGCCCCUAGCACCCUUCCCUGAUUGACCAGGUUGACUGGGCUAUUUCGGUCUUCUCGCUUUGACAUUCCAUGUGCUCUCAGCGGGCUGACGCGUGGCUAUUUACUUAUUUUUUUCGGUUUUCUUUCGUCGUCCUCUGUGCCCCAUUAUUUCUCUUGCCUGUUUUCUCAUUUUUUUCCCCCCAAUCUUCUUCCUCAAAUCGCCAAAAAUGGCAUCAAAUACUGUCCCCUUUCCCUCAGCCAUUGAAGCGGUUACUCAAUUGGGCUCCAUGAUCGAAGUUUUGGAGGAAGACAAGAAUAUCGACUACAAUAACUUCAGUGAUAGAAAUACGAUUGAAGGAUUUUUCGCAGGAUAAUUGUCAACCAUUCAUGUUCGAUUUCUUUUGUAGCGCUUGAAAAGCUAACCCGGAUGCUUCAAGAGCAGGUCAUUUUUUGCUAACACAUCUGCUGUUGGACACAAUGAAUAACUGUACUCGAAAGCAAUGAAGAGGGGAGGAUUGUUGAUAUUGCAUCAGAAGGCCAUUGAUUCACAUAUCGUGAAGGAAUCCUUUUUGAUGAACUGAACAAUCCAUUAAGGUACUCCAGAUUUGCUGCAUAUUGUCAAUCAAAACUUGCUACAAUCUUGCAUACCAGAGAGCUAGCAAAACAACUUAAGGAUGAUGGGGUUGAUAUAACAGUUAAUGUAGUUCAUCCUGGAUGUAUUUAUGCAAUUAUAUCAAGAAGCAGAUUAUUAGAUGGUAUCCUUCACUUUUUAUUGCAAAUUGUUGUAUAUCUAAUAUCUAUCCUUAGCCUACUCUUAUAUAUGUUACAAUUUUUUUUUUUGGGACGGAGUUAUUGUUUAAUUGUGCAUUAAUUGGAUGUGACAGCUCUUUACAAGCUUUUGAGACCUAUUAAUUAUUUUUUCUUGAAAGAUAUUCCACAAGUAAGUGUCUUGAAACACACAUGAUCAAACUUUACAAUGUUUAAUCCUUUACCGGUUACUCAAGUAAACAUUUUUUUUUCCUUUUUUAUUGUUGUAAUUAUCGAAUAACAAUUAUUCAAUCUAAAGUUCAUCAUAAAAAUAAUUGUCAGUUGGGCUUCUAAAUUUGCUUUCUUUUCACCUUCUCCGGGUGAUGAAUUUGAAUCGUUUAAGGAACUCAAAUUCAACUUGAUUUUGUGGGAUUUUUGAGAAUUGGGGUAAUUUAAUUUUUCAAUCGACUGGUAGCGACUUUAGGGUUUAGUUUUGCCUCAAUUGGUAAUUGCUUUUCUCUUUUCUCUUCCUUUUAAACAGCUCCUGAGCUGAAGAUGUUUUCUUUUGUGAUCAUCGAAUAUCAACUUCACAAUCUAGGUACUCCUGAAGAAAAUCAAAAACUCCAUUCAGUAUGGUGUUGCAAGAGAGGGAGAUUCGGGGUAUGGGGUUCAUCAGUUUGUCUCACGUUGCCGUUAACAUGACCACCGCUGACGAUGAUGUCGUUGUCCAGGUUGUUAACUGCAAGAUGUGGCCGUUGAUUUCACAAUACAGAGCAUCAGCAAGGAUUUCCUGGUGUUAGACCACUAAUAUUUCUUCACCAUUUCCUAUUCCAGGUUUCCUUUCCCCCAAUCAGCGGGUUCUCUUUUCGAGGAUGACGGAGUUAGAGAGGAUGGUCUACCUCUAUCGAAAAAUUAAGCUAAUUUUUUCUCUAAAUCCUUCUUUUAUUUUCAUAAUUUCGUUGUAAUUUUUCAAUUGCUUUGAAAUUGUGUUUGUUAAUUUUUCUUAUGGAUCUGGAUUUCUCUUUGCUACAUUGUUAAUGUUGAAUUUUGUGUAAGGUUUCUGUUAAUCAAGCUAUUUAAUGACCAUUUGAAGGUUUUUCUUUAGUUGCUGCUUUUAAAAAUUUACAGUGUUUAUACUGAUUAUCUAAGUGUUUUAGCUAUCAAUGAUCUCUCUCUAUUUUCAUGAGUAUAUGGGGUGAUAAUAGUAUUAGGCAUUCAAUACUCUUGCCCAAAAGAUGACUUUGCCUUCAAAACUCAAGCAUUGUGUUUUAUAUUAGUAGUUGAAUAGUUUCAAAUCAAUUUAAUGAUAUUGUUUACAACCAUAAAAAGAUAAUUAGAUAUAAAAAUUGACACUGAUCUUUGAGGGAAAAUAGUACUUAUGUGGUUAUGUCUAAUUGUUAAUGAAGGAAACGAUGAAGAUGAGAUGUUCUUUGGUAAGAUUGUGUGUAUAGAGUGAAAUUUUUUAUUUUAUAAACCCAAGUACGUAUGGAAUAUAUGAAUUGAAAUUGCAGUAAGAGUGCAUCUAAAUAUUAAUCAACUUGAACCUCUUUUUGGGACCAAUUUUCGUGUCUUUCACGAAGAAUUUGGAUUAUGAUUUUGAUGGUUGCUCUUCAUGUGAGUAAACUAAAGAAUAACUUGACAAAAUCAGUUAGAACCAAGUUGUUUUAAUUUGAGUAAAUAACGUCUUAAUUGAGAGGUUGACAUCAAAAUACGUACCUUGUUUAGUGAGGUGAAUGGAAUAAAUACUAUAUUUACUUGAUAUGUAUUGGUCCCUCAUUGAUGUGGUAUUGUUGAUUUUAAAAAGCAGGUUCACGCAAGGGAGCCCAUACUCGAUCUUCAAAAUGUGAAAUAUCAGCUUGGUGGAUCCUUACUUUCUUAGGGCUUAAUUGUUUGUAUUUAACAUGCAGAGGUAGAUUUGAUUGUUGUCCUUGGAACCUAAUGAAUUUGUUUUUGGUCAAUUUUAGUUAUUGUUGUUAAAUACUUGUAUGAAGUAUAGCUUGCUAUUACACUGUUACAAUAGAGUUCCACUCAUUAUUUUCUGAUUAAGAAUAAAUUUUUUCUUA